UCUUGUGAACCUGGCCCUCUUGAGAGCCACUGAGCUGGGAGUGCUCUUGGGAACAGCUGGGGCAAAUGCAGCACUGUUGCCUAGCAGUCCCUUUGGAGCGGUCAUAAGGGAUUGUUGCUGAGCAACCUGGGGGCUCUUGGUGCCACAUCACCCUUUAUGGAGUUUUAAGGUGGUGGUGGUGGGUCCACUCCCCUUAGGAGGAGCAGUACAUCUUGGCAGGGUCUGAACUUCCCUCAGAGGCAUGGGGCUGUUAUCAGGACCAUGAGAUACUGAAAACCACGCAAGACAGAUCUGGGAAGUCGGGAAACCAUAAAAUCGCCGAGACCACAUCCAGGCAGGAAGGAUAAAGG